CAGACGUGAAAAGUUCAAAUGUGAAGAGUGCAAUCGAUUUUUUCGUCGUUAUCACCAGCUUGUUGUUCAUCAGCGUAUUCACACAGGAGAAAAACCUUAUGUUUGUAAACAUUGUGGCACGGCGUUCCGUCAUGAUUCAACUCUAACCAUGCACAUUCGAACAAGGCACGAGCACAAACGACCGUUUCGAUGCGAAUUUUGCGAUCACACUUUUGGUCGACUUUCACAUUUACGUAAACACGUGAAGAAAGUGUGCGGUCCUAACAAAAACCAAAA